rnacentral:tRNA from 2 species
GGAGGGCUGGCAGAGCGGACGAUUGCAACGGUCUUGAAAACCGUCGAGGUGAAAGCCUCCGGGGGUUCGAAUCCCCCGCCCUCCGCCA